CCAAUAGCGUAUAUUAAAGUUGUUGCAGUUAAAAAGCUCGUAGUUGAAUUUCGGAAUCAAUGUUUUGGUCAUGCCGUUGGUAUGUACUGAUAUUAUUGAUUUCUCACCUUCUAAAGAACCGUAAUGCCAUUAAUUUGGUGUUACGGGGAAUUAGGACUGUUACCUUGAAAAAAUUAGAGUGUUUAAAGCAGGCUCACGCUUGAAUACAUUAGCAUGGAAUAAUGAAAUAGGACAUCCGAUUCUAUUUUGUUGGUUUCUAGGAUCGAUGUAAUGAUUAAUAGGGAUAGUUGGGGGCAUUAGUAUUCAAUUGUAAGAGGUGAAAUUCUUGGAUUUAUUGAAGACUAACUACUGCGAAAGCAUUUGCCAAGGAUGUUUUCAUUAAUCAAGAACGAAAGUUAGGGGAUCGAAGACGAUCAGAUACCGUCGUAGUCUUAACCAUAAACUAUGCCGACUAGGGAUCGGAUGAUGUUAAUUUUUUAAUGACUCAUUCGGCGCCUUACG
rnacentral:rRNA from 1 species